UGACGUGCUUGCACUGAAUGAGAUUUUAACACGAAGUGAGUGGCGGACGGGUGAGUAACACGUGGGUAACCUGCCCAGAAGCAGGGGAUAACACCUGGAAACAGAUGCUAAUACCGUAUAACAGAGAAAACCGCCUGGUUUUCUUUUAAAAGAUGGCUCUGCUAUCACUUCUGGAUGGACCCGCGGCGCAUUAGCUAGUUGGUGAGGUAACGGCUCACCAAGGCGAUGAUGCGUAGCCGACCUGAGAGGGUAAUCGGCCACAUUGGGACUGAGACACGGCCCAGACUCCUACGGGAGGCAGCAGUAGGGAAUCUUCCACAAUGGACGCAAGUCUGAUGGAGCAACGCCGCGUGAGUGAAGAAGGGUUUCGGCUCGUAAAGCUCUGUUGUUAAAGAAGAACGUGGGUGAGAGUAACUGUUCACCCAGUGACGGUAUUUAACCAGAAAGCCACGGCUAACUACGUGCCAGCAGCCGCGGUAAUACGUAGGUGGCAAGCGUUAUCCGGAUUUAUUGGGCGUAAAGCGAGCGCAGGCGGUCUUUUAAGUCUAAUGUGAAAGCCUUCGGCUCAACCGAAGAAGUGCAUUGGAAACUGGGAGACUUGAGUGCAGAAGAGGACAGUGGAACUCCAUGUGUAGCGGUGAAAUGCGUAGAUAUAUGGAAGAACACCAGUGGCGAAGGCGGCUGUCUGGUCUGUAACUGACGCUGAGGCUCGAAAGCAUGGGUAGCGAACAGGAUUAGAUACCCUGGUAGUCCAUGCCGUAAACGAUGAUUACUAAGUGUUGGAGGGUUUCCGCCCUUCAGUGCUGCAGCUAACGCAUUAAGUAAUCCGCCUGGGGAGUACGACCGCAAGGUUGAAACUCAAAAGAAUUGACGGGGGCCCGCACAAGCGGUGGAGCAUGUGGUUUAAUUCGAAGCUACGCGAAGAACCUUACCAGGUCUUGACAUCUUCUGCCAACCUAAGAGAUUAGGCGUUCCCUUCGGGGACAGAAUGACAGGUGGUGCAUGGUUGUCGUCAGCUCGUGUCGUGAGAUGUUGGGUUAAGUCCCGCAACGAGCGCAACCCUUAUUACUAGUUGCCAGCAUUCAGUUGGGCACUCUAGUGAGACUGCCGGUGACAAACCGGAGGAAGGUGGGGACGACGUCAAAUCAUCAUGCCCCUUAUGACCUGGGCUACACACGUGCUACAAUGGAUGGUACAACGAGUCGCGAAACCGCGAGGUUUAGCUAAUCUCUUAAAACCAUUCUCAGUUCGGACUGUAGGCUGCAACUCGCCUACACGAAGUCGGAAUCGCUAGUAAUCGCGGAUCAGCAUGCCGCGGUGAAUACGUUCCCGGGCCUUGUACACACCGCCCGUCACACCAUGAGAGUUUGUAACACCCAAAGCCGGUGGGGUAACCUUUAGA
rnacentral:rRNA from 1 species